rnacentral:rRNA from 1 species
AUUGAACGCUGGCGGCAUGCCUUACACAUGCAAGUCGAACGGCAGCAUGGAGAGCUUGCUCUCUGAUGGCGAGUGGCGAACGGGUGAGUAAUGCAUCGGAACGUACCGUGUAAUGGGGGAUAACGUAGCGAAAGUUACGCUAUACCGCAUACGACCUGAGGGUGAAAGCAGGGGAUCGCAAGACCUUGCGUUAUACGAGCGGCCGAUGUCAGAUUAGCUAGUUGGUGAGGUAAAGGCUCACCAAGGCGACGAUCUGUAGCGGGUCUGAGAGGAUGAUCCGCCACACUGGGACUGAGACACGGCCCAGACUCCUACGGGAGGCAGCAGUGGGGAAUUUUGGACAAUGGGGGCAACCCUGAUCCAGCCAUGCCGCGUGAGUGAAGAAGGCCUUCGGGUUGUAAAGCUCUUUCGGCCGGGAAGAAAUCGCACAGGCUAAUACUCUGUGUGGAUGACGGUACCGGCAUAGAAGCACCGGCUAACUACGUGCCAGCCGCCGCGGUAA